GGAUGUGAGGACAAUCUGGCCAUGACAUCUGUCACCCUAAUGAUCACCAGGGUUGAUUUGGCUGAUCUGGCUGGCUAGGCUGGUGUCCCCUUCCUUCCACAACGCUCCAUGUGCCUUCCUCCCAAAGCUGUGUGCUCGCUCAGUCGAAGAGGACCACCCCCCCAAAAGAGAAGGACCAUACCUCGGUCAAGGUUAUACGAGUAGCUGCGCUCCCCUGCUAGAACCUCCAGACAAGCUCUCAAGAAAAUAUUUUUGCACUAAGAAAUACUACUUUUAAUAAGUUUUAGUUCCAAUAUGACAGAAAUACCUAUCCAU
rnacentral:snRNA from 1 species